AGCUAGUUGUUCAACAGAAAAGAGACUUCAGAUAUAUCAGACCCCAAGAGACGAGAGGAGAAAUGCUCUGUCACCAGGCCCAUCGCCCCAAGACUGCCCAGGUAGAUUUCCUGAUCAAAAGGAAGUUUAGCCAGCUACCCCAAUCAGCAAUUCCCACCAGGAUCAGGAAAUUAACCAGUCCUAUUAUGAGAUCUUUGAAUUGCUUAUUUUAUAAUUUAAUACACACUUUAUGAGAGUAGUAGGAACAUGAGGAGGGCAGUAUUGAUUUGGAUUUAUUGUGAAAUAUGUGAAUAGAUAAAAGUAUGAGAGUGCAUAUAAAUUAGGCAAUUAUGAGAUGUGGUGCUAAUGUAAAAAUUCUGCUGAAUAAAUAUAAAAUAUGCUUCUAUCAGCAUCCAGCUUGUGUCCCCAUAGUGCUAAUCAUUUGAGAUGAUAAUUAGGAUUGUGUGUUUGUCUUUUCUUUAUGAGACGAGAUAUUGUGAUGGUGCUCUUCAGUCUCAAUUUAAAUGAGUAUUGAUCUGUGAGAGGCAUAGAUGCUCAAAUCAAAACACAAGUGUAGCACAGCCCACUUGUACAUGCUAUUUGUUUUUUUUUUUUGUGAUUUUUUUCUUUCUAGAGGUAGCCGUGUUUAAAUAUUUAGCAUUCUCUACUUUGAGUUUUUGCUCGUUUACUAUCGUAAUAACCCUUUUUAUCCUUCUUUUAGUUGUAGUGUGCUAAUGUCACGAUUUAAAUGAAGUAUUGAUCAGUUUUAGGAGGGGAGAACAGAGAGAGAGGGAGCGAUUGAGAGGGAAAGAAAGCAAGACCAGGGUUAUCGGUGUGGAUCGCACACAGAAAGAGAGUGCUAACGGAUGGGAGAUGUUUUAGACGAUUCUAUGAAAUGGAUUUCUACAUAAUCUGUAUUUUUUUGAAGCAAGAAGAACGGCCACGCUCUUCUAUUACGUUUGUUUUAAGAGGCAAAUAUGGACUAGUGAAAGACAGCAGUAGCUUGAGCAGACCAUGAAUGGGAAGACAUUUAUUUUUACUUCUGUUUUUUGUUGGAUUCUUGGAGAAGGACGCUCCAUCCUGCCUGUGAUUCCUUCUCAUCAGUGUCACUGCUGGAGCAUCAGGAACACUGGACCAAACACUGAAUCAGGAGCUAGCCUCCUGCAUUCUUUGUGGUUAAGUAGUUGGAAACAAACAGAUGUUCCAAGUUACUUUCUUAACUGGAGGAUGGCUGACUGAACCACGAGGGUGCAACCAAAUACAAGGGAUUGUCACAGGCAGACUCAGCAGGCCAAGAAGCUUUUGAGAAAGGUUCUGAUAAUGAUUGUGUGGCACAGACGGAAGCAGAGAUUGAAGCACUAAUGGAGUGUAAGCCAGUGGAGCCCUCAGGUGACAUGCUGACAAGGACGACUCUAUGAGGACAUCAUGAAGUGGGUGGCACCCUCAUGGAGUGAAAGGCGGGGCCUCAGAGAUUGAGUUGUUUUUCUUCCAGGAAGUUGUUUGGACAUGCCACCAAUGAGACCUGAAGCUAAGGUGAAAUUUGGGCACAAAGAAAUUAUGGUGCAGUCAUACAUGGGUGGGCCUUAUUGGCAUCACAAAUCAAACCUAAUGGCAAGGUCAUACAACAACAUUCAAGACUUUCAUCAGGAGGUUCAAAGAAGUCAACCAACCUCUGAAAAGACAGUUACCAGAUAAGGGACCACCGCUGUUCGGAUCAUAAAGUAGGUACAUAUUACAACAAUUACAACUUCUCUAUGGAUAAACAAUAGCAACAAGCUGGUGCCACCACUGUCACCAUGGGAACCAGAGAUGACAUGCUCUGGAGAGAGACAGACUCUUAGUCAAAACAUUUGAUUGGGCCAGUCUGCUUUCAAGGUUGUGGUCCGAUGUUUUUCUUCACAGCAUGUCAUUCUGAGCCCCAAGUAUUUCUCUUGUGUCAACCUCAUGCUGAGAAAUGAGCGUUUGAUACGCUGGAAAGAAAAAAAAAAUCCUGGCACAUUGCUCAAACCUUUGUAUGUCUUGACUCUGUUACCCUGGGAAAAGUAAAACGGCUGCAGCCUCAAAUACAAGGAGAUGUAUUAUAUUUUGGACCAUCAUUUUAUUCUCAGUUCAGACCAUUUGGCUACCUCCUGUGUAAUUUAGCCCAUUUUUGUUUGUCAAUUAAUACAGAAUGUUGUUUGUUUUUGAGCCCUUCAAUGUAUAUACCCCGCCUUCUCCUAACCGUGACUGUGAUAGGCUCCAGCAACUCUGUGACCCUGAGAAAGAUAAAGCAGGUUUGGAAAAUGGAUGGAUGGCGUAGUCCUGGAGAGGCCAGUGCUUUGGUGGGCAGUAAGGUGGAGUUCCUGGAGUGGUCAUUUACCAGGACGCUGACAUAAGCCCACCCCUGGAGACAUUCGCACAUCUCUGCAUCAGGAUGCUCUCAUUUACCGCCUCUGGGCCCAACCAUUGAUCUCCCUUCCCUCUGCUUGCAACCGCACUUUCCUCUCUCUUACUUUUUAAUUUUCCUCUCCAAAACAAAUCCCACAUUAAGCAGCCAAGAGUAGCUUGAUGCAGCGCUUCUCCUGAAAGAGCAACAGAUUUAUGUAAUUUCUUUUCCUCUGUGGCUUCUCCUACAUGUCCACGCACAGAUCAUUGCACACAAAGGCCUCAUUUUUAUCUU